UGCUGAGCACAAAUCUGUUUGACUCGUUGUUUUUUUGUUAAAGUCCUGAUCAGCUGAUCAGCCUGCUGCAGCUCUUAUCUUCACAGUCACAUUUUAUUUGCGUCUGCCACGCCCUCUUUAAAACCCACUGACGGCGGCGGCUGGCAAGCAGCUGUGUUAAUAAUUCUCACACCUUCAGACUUUCAGGUUCUUGGACGCUCUGUUAGUGCAGCUGACCUCGCAGCAGCUGGGAAUGAGCAGGACGGCAUUUUGGUUAAAAAAACGAGUGAAAUCAAAGAAGUGACGUCUGAGUUUGUGUGUGCAGUUCUCAGUCACCCAGGUCACGGUAGCAUGAAGAGCGUGGAAAAGAAGCCCACUGGGCUUUAAGUUUGAAGGCGGUGAGGAACAAACGUGGGAAAUAAUCCGACCCCGGCCUGAAAACAUCUGGAUCAUCGCUGAAACUAAAUGAAAACAAUAAAAACAGUCAAACCAAAGUCUAAAGGCGUGACUUGCUGUGUAAAACAGGAUGUGGGGUGGGGGUAGUUUGGAAAGGAGCCACAUAUCCCGACCCCCACCCUUCCACCAAUCCACCCCCAGCAUGCCCGACAUUCUGCCUCGCGCUUGUGCGGCGGGCAGAAAUAGACAGCGGUGGGAGGGAAACUCGAGCUGAAGUGCGAGGACUUGGGCGGAGCAGCCGUGUUUUCCCUGCCUGUGAGCUACGAGCUGAACAGCAGCUAUGAUGGAGCUGCAGAUUAAGUGUGUGAUGAAGAAUCCAGUUAUCCUGAAGUCACGGCGUGGUAUAAAACGUGGUAUAAAAAGAUUUCUUCUUCUUGUGCAGCUUUCCAGCUGACCCGUCCUCUUACAGCUCCCCCGUCGGGUCCCGGCAUUCCCCUGAAAUAGGAGAGCAGCUGUGUGGGUCAGCCUCUCCUGACACCCACCAUGACACCACAAACCACACCCGGCUUCCUUAAAUAUCGUGAUACCUGCCGUGCUUCCUUUGUGUGUGGUGACGCGGUCACAGCAGUCUGGCACAUCUGGUCUGCUCAGUCCUCUUAAAGGCGCUCACAUCUGCUUUUACACAUUCUAAUAAACUGGAACAUGCCCGUGUGGCAGUGCUUGGUCUGGGAGCUGAGUCUGUUCUUUGGGGGCUGCCAUCGCAUAUGUGCACCACCACCACCACCACAACAACAACAACGACAACGACGACAACGAAAGUUUCAUUAAAUGUUAAUGACAUGAGAUUAAAACUCAAAGCUUUUAUAAAAUCUAAAGCCAGGUCAUUUUAGUCCCUUGGUAGCUGGUUGCUAGGUAACAUGACAUCAUGAUAUCUGAUAUAGAUCAGAUCCUUCAGAGGUCUAAGAUGUACCUGUGUGCACGGUGUGGUUGGUUGACCGAACAGAGGUUUGGGGAAUUAUCGUAGAGCUGCGUCAACACAGGAAGUGACCACAGAAAGUCGAUGAUGUCAGACAACUGUGGGUGGAA